rnacentral:rRNA from 1 species
UACGUAGGGUGCAAGCGUUGUCCGGAAUUAUUGGGCGUAAAGAGCUCGUAGGCGGCUUGUCGCGUCGGCUGUGAAAACCUGGGGCUCAACCCCGGGCCUGCAGCCGAUACGGGCAAGCUAGAAUGUGGUAGGGGAGAUCGGAAUUCCUGGUGUAGCGGUGAAAUGCGCAGAUAUCAGGAGGAACACCGGUGGCGAAGGCGGAUCUCUGGGCCAUUACUGACGCUGAGGAGCGAAAGCGUGGGGAGCGAACAGG